CCUUUAAAGCCAAAUGUUCUGGAAGAGCUCCUUGCACUUUUUGUUGUAAAGAACAUUUUUGUGCUUGUUUGUUCAAACUUGCUCUCUUCAACGAAGGAAUGUUCUCUGGCUCCUUUUCAGCAUGUAUUAGUUCAGUAUCCCGUUAGCUUAAGGAGCUGAAUCAUCAGCUGCUCACGUGUUCAUGCUUUAGCUGGAGGUUCUUCCAGAAUAAAAGAAAUUGCUGACUUGAUAAUUUAAUUCUCGGCUCACUCCAGUGAUUAUGAGGAACAACUCCAUCCAGCAGUGCAAAACUGACAUAAUCCAGACUUCGACUGCAUAUCUGAUGGAUGGAAAAUUGAAAUAAAAAUGCCUUGCCUGGAAGAAAAAA